rnacentral:rRNA from 1 species
CCUUGACAUACUAAGAACUUUCCAGAGAUGGAUUGGUGCCUUCGGGAACUUAGAUACAGGUGCUGCAUGGCUGUCGUCAGCUCGUGUCGUGAGAUGUUGGGUUAAGUCCCGCAACGAGCGCAACCCUUUUCCUAUUUGCCAGCGGGUCAUGCCGGGAACUUUAAGGAUACUGCCAGUGACAAACUGGAGGAAGGCGGGGACGACGUCAAGUCAUCAUGGCCCUUACGGCCAGGGCUACACACGUGCUACAAUGGUCGGUACAAAGGGUUGCUACCUCGCGAGAGGAUGCUAAUCUCAAAAAGCCGAUCGUAGUCCGGAUCGCAGUCUGCAACUCGACUGCGUGAAGUCGGAAUCGCUAGUAAUCGCGGAUCAGAAUGCCGCGGUGAAUACGUUCCCGGGCCUUGUACACACCGCCCGUCACACCAUGGGAGUUUGUUGCACCAGAAGUAGGUAAUCUAACCGCAAGGAGGACGCUUACCACGGUGUGGCCGAUGACUGGGGUGAAGUCGUAACAAGGUAAGCGUAGAUGA